AUUCAGCAGCCGCGGUAAUACAGAGGGUGCAAGCGUUAAUCGGAGUUACUGGGCGUAAAGCGUGCGUAGGCGGAUAUUCAAGUCGGAUGUGAAAGCCCCGGGCUUAACCUGGGAACUGCAUUCGAUACUGGAUGUCUAGAGUAUGAUAGAGGAAAGUGGAAUUUCCGGUGUAGCGGUGAAAUGCGUAGAUAUCGGAAGGAACACCAGCGGCGAAGGCGACUUUCUGGAUCAAUACUGACGCUGAGGUACGAAAGCGUGGGGAGCAAACAGGAUUAGAGACCCUGGUAGUCCACGCUGUAAACGAUGAGAACUAGGCGUUAAUUUCAUUUUAUUAUGGAACUAGUGCCAAAGCUAACGCGUUAAGUUCUCCGCCUGGGGAGUACGAUCGCAAGAUUAAAACUCAAAGGAAUUGACGGGGGCUCGCACAAGCGGUGGAACAUGUGGUUUAAUUCGAUGAUACCCGAAAAACCUUACCUACCCUUGAAAUCCUUGGAAUCCUGCAGAGAUGCGGGAGUGCCUUCGGGAACCAAGUGACAGGUGCUGCAUGGCUGUCGUCAGCUCGUGUCGUGAGAUGUUGGGUUAAGUCCCAUAACGGGCGCAACCCUUGUCUUUAGUUGCUAGCACAUCAUGGUGAGCACUCUAAAGAGACUGCCGGUGAUAAACCGGAGGAAGGUGGGGACGACGUCAAGUCAUCAUGGCCCUUACGGGUAGGGCUACACACGUGUUAAAAUGGGAAGUACAGAGGGUUGCCAAGCUGCAAAGCGGAGCUAAUCCCAGAAAACUUUUCGUAGUCCGGAUUGAAGUCUGCAACUCGACUUCAUGAAGUUGGAAUCGCUAGUAAUCGCGAAUCAGCAUGUCGCGGUGAAUACGUUCUCGGGCCUUGUACACACCGCCCGUCACACCAUGGGAGCGGGUCUCGCCAGAAGUAGGUAGCCUAACCGCAAGGAGGGCGCUUACCACGGCGGGGUUCGUGACUGGGGUGAAGUCGUAACAAGGUAACCAAU
rnacentral:rRNA from 1 species